GCCAAAACAUCAGUGCAAAAUGUUUUCCACUGUUAUAUACCAUCAGUUUCUCUGUAACCCUAGGUCUCAAAUUCACAAACCUAAAAGAAUGACACAGUUCCUGGCCAAGGGGACGCGAGCCAUCUCCUCACCAAGCAGUAUCUCACCCUCGGCGAGGGAGAUGUUCACACUUCGGAGCAGAGGGAAGAGCAGUGGGAGAGGGGAAAAAGAAUCCCAAGCAGACUGACUUGACACUGAGCAUGGAGCCCUGUGUUGGGCUCCAUGCCGUGACCCCGAGAUCAUGACCUGAGCUGAAACGAAGAGUCAGUUACUCAACCAACUGAGCCACCCAGGUACCGCAUUUUGUCCAUUUUUAAAUUGGGGUGUUUGCCUUUGUUGUUAAGUCAUAAG
rnacentral:lncRNA from 1 species